CUGCUAUCAUUUCUACAAUACUCUGUUGGUUACGUGGCCAGCCCUGUUGGAUACAAGGGCCUGUACAAGGCAUGGAUAUCUGGACGUGGGGAUGGUGAAGGAGCCUUGGAGCCUGCUUACUUUUCUCCAUACAUCAAGAGCUGUCAAAUCAAACUCCAACAGCAUUGUCUCCUAAGUCUGCCAGCUGGAAUUUACCUGUUAAGUGCAGCUAAAGGUGAAGUACCCGUGGGACGCAGGGUAGCAAAUAGCCCUGCUAGCAGAGAGCAAGCAGCUGUCACCAAGGAACUAAAGUGAGAAAAAUGCAAAGCAUGCAGCAGCAGUCCUCCAAAUGUGGCCCUGAGGGUUCCAAGGUCAUUUCAGUGGGUCUUUUAUGACAGAAAGAGAGAGGAUGCUAGUUAGCCAGUUAUGCUUAAGUGAGUCUGAUGAAGCAAUAAAAAAUUACUAAGUGACCCU
rnacentral:lncRNA from 1 species